rnacentral:rRNA from 1 species
UCGAACGAGAUCCUUCGGGGUCUAGUGGCGCACGGGUGCGUAACGCGUGGGAAUCUGCCCUUAGGUUCGGAAUAACAGUUAGAAAUGACUGCUAAUACCGGAUGAUGACGUUAAGUCCAAAGAUUUAUCGCCUGAGGAUGAGCCCGCGUAGGAUUAGCUAGUUGGUGUGGUAAAGGCGCACCAAGGCGACGAUCCUUAGCUGGUCUGAGAGGAUGAUCAGCCACACUGGGACUGAGACACGGCCCAGACUCCUACGGGAGGCAGCAGUGGGGAAUAUUGGACAAUGGGCGCAAGCCUGAUCCAGCAAUGCCGCGUGAGUGAUGAAGGCCUUAGGGUUGUAAAGCUCUUUUACCCGGGAUGAUAAUGACAGUACCGGGAGAAUAAGCCCCGGCUAACUCCGUGCCAGCAGCCGCGGUAAUACGGAGGGGGCUAGCGUUGUUCGGAAUUACUGGGCGUAAAGCGCACGUAGGCGGCUUUGUAAGUUAGAGGUGAAAGCCUGGAGCUCAACUCCAGAACUGCCUUUAAGACUGCAUCGCUUGAAUCCAGGAGAGGUGAGUGGAAUUCCGAGUGUAGAGGUGAAAUUCGUAGAUAUUCGGAAGAACACCAGUGGCGAAGGCGGCUCACUGGACUGGUAUUGACGCUGAGGUGCGAAAGCGUGGGAGCAAACAGGAUUAGAUACCCUGGUAGUCCACGCCGUAAACGAUGAUAACUAGCUGUCCGGGGACUUGGUCUUUGGGUGGCGCAGCUAACGCAUUAAGUUAUCCGCCUG